rnacentral:rRNA from 1 species
AGCGAACGCUGGCGGCAGGCCUAACACAUGCAAGUCGAGCGGCCGUAGCAAUACGGCAGCGGCAGACGGGAGAGUAACACGUGGGAACGCGCCCUUCGGUUCGGGAUAACUCAGGGAACUUGGGCUAAUACCGGAUACGCCCUUACGGGGAAAGGUUUAUUGCCGAAGGAACGGCCCGCGUCCGAUUAGCUUGUUGGUGAGGUAACGGCUCACCAAGGCGACGAGCGGUAGCUGGUCUGAGAGGAUGACCAGCCUCACUGGGACUGAGACACGGCCCAGACUCCGACGGGAGGCAGCAGUGGGGAAUAUUGGACAAUGGUCGCAAGCCUGAUCCAGCCAUGCCGAGUGGGUGAUGAAGGCCCUAGGGUUGUAAAGCCCUUUCAGCGGGGAAGAUAAUGACGGUACCCGCAGAAGAAGCCCCGGCUAACUUCGUGCCAGCCGCCGCCGUAACAC